rnacentral:rRNA from 1 species
AUGUUUCCCGAGAGAGACUGCCUUCUCUCAGGCCAGUAGUCUUAUACUUAUAGUCGACUGCUCUAUGAUGAUCUGACCUCUUUCCUGGGCUCUGCUUGCUCGUCUACGCUCCGACCAAUUCAGUCAAAAUCGAAAAAACGAUGUUUCCUUGAAAAAGUCUAA